UGAGAAUCAACAUUUCGUUCAGAAUUGGUGUCUUAUAAAGUCAGCACCCGUAGAAAGCUGGAUUUCAAGGACACAACUUAAUACUAAAGUAGGCAUCAAGGGAAAAUGUCAAGUACUUGGAGAAUAGAUAUUUACCUAGUUACAGCCAGCAAGUGGCAAAGCACUAGAGAGUGUGUCACCUGAGCACAGCCUGUAAACAAGGUGCUGGGAGCUGAAGGAGGGUACUGAGCAUGAUCCCUGCACACAGCACCAAGGGGUGGGCAGAUCACCUAACCAGCCCUCCAGCCCAACCCACAGAUCUGCUCCCACCAGAUCCCCACUUAAGGAACCAGCCCACCCUCCCUCAGAGAAUGAGCAAGGGGACUUGUUACCUGUUUUUGCUCUGGAAUAGCAUGAAUCCCAAUAAAGCCAUGCCUGAAUUCCUC